AUCUAAAUGAUGAGUCCCAAAUAAGACGAAACGUGCAUCCUGGAU
rnacentral:hammerhead_ribozyme from 1 species